CUUCCUGAAGCGCAAGCUCUCAGCGUCUCCGUACUUCGAUUGUGCCUCAUUAAGCCACAAACUCCCCAGCUGCUGGCACUGUUUUGGGACGUGGUUGAGAAAUCAGCCUCUUCAGGGCUACAAGGGCAGAGCCCCGUAGCUGCAACAGGAUCUGUGUUGCACAGAGCUGAGAACGUCCUCCCUCCCUCUCUACAGACAGUCUGCCAGCUCCUGCCCUAAGUCAGAAGGGCAUCAGCAACAAUCAGAAACAAAGAUGUGGCAUCUGAUAGAGAAAGCUGGCAAGCAGGCAAGCGGGCUGAAGGAGGAUUUCAAACACGAUUGCAUCGACUUCUUUAUUUCUCAAGUGGUCAAGCCUGCCUCUGAGCUGAAAGCCAUCUCAGAUCGCCCUUUGUGUAUGCCAUUGUCCCCAGACCAGAAAGGAGGCUGGGAAAGCGAUACAAAGACUCUUUGAUCUAUCUUCAUCCAGCUUUAUUUUCCUCUCCAGCGUCCCCUCUGUAAUGAUUGGUUUUAAAAGGUAUUUGUUGAUUCUUACUAAAUGCAAGCUACUGCUAGACAUAAAAAGAUGAGAAGCGUGAUCUCUUCCCCUCGAAGAGAAUAUGUGACAUGUGAAGGAGAGUUAUAUAAGCAAGCAAUUAAGAGACGCUCUUUGUCAUAGAGAGGUAUGCUCAAGUUACAAUGAUAGCAUGCGAGAAGCACCCACUCGUCUGCCUGGGUCGAUCUGUAAAGGCUUUGCACUGUGGGGAAGGCCGUGAGGAACGAAACAUGAGGGGGACUCUGCAAUGGGGUAGAAAAUGGCAGACACAGCAUUUGGACUCCACUGGGAAUCUGUAGGCAUUACUUAAACCUUAGUAUCGAGAAAAAACAGGUAUAGUCACAGAUGAAGCUGACAGUCUCAGAGGAGUCACAAGAGCAUAAGGAACAGCUGAGGCCAUGAGAGUUUCCCACAGCUGAGAAUUCAGAGUGAGGUCAUCAGGCUUCACCAAGCCGACCCUUCUCUUACCAGCGAUAUCUGUGAUUUCCAUAGGUACACUGGACAUCCUCCCAGGUCACCUAGAAGUGAAGACGGCAACACCCUAAUCAGUAUUCAGUGUUCUCAGAAUGUGUGGUUCUAUGGUUUGCCCUCCUAGACAAGUCCAUUCCUCUCUUUAAACUGGGUCAUGCCCAUCCAAGAGUUACGACUCUGGCUUUAGGGAACUUUACCACAGAGUCUGAAGCAUCAUGGCACUGAGCCUAGAUCACCAGAACCCAGGGCACUGAGCUGAGUGAGCACAUAGGUUAAUAAACCGGGAGCAGUUUCCAGGAGGAGGAACAGGAUUUUGCCCCUCCUAAAAGGCACCCCCAUUCAGAAUACAGUCUCCAUGGCAAGAACCCAGAUAGCCCUAUGCUCUGGAUUUAUUAGAGGUAGUUAAUCUAGGGCAAGUAACAAUUUGGAUGAUGUUUCUCACCCAACAAACAUGGGAGUCGUUGAAGCAGAACCAUUUUCCAUCCACAGGAUUCCGGAUGUAGGCACAGUAAUGACCAAAGUCAGCCAUACCCACAUGGGCAAUCACAGCAAAGAGUUCAUAAUGUACUCCAGGCUGGAGGGAGACAAAUGGAGAAACGGUUCAAUCACCAUCCCUCCAUUCUGUCACCAUGGACUCUACCUCCUUGGAACCACAAGCCUAAAAUAAACUCUUUCCUCUGUAA